rnacentral:tRNA from 1 species
CAUUAGAUGGCUGAAAGUAAGUAAUGGUCUCUUAAACCAAUUAAUAAUAUUGUAACGAAUAUUUCUAAUGA